rnacentral:rRNA from 1 species
UACGGGGGGGCAAGCGUUGUUCGGAUUUACUGGGCGUAAAGGGCGCGUAGGCGGCCCUUCCUAGUCGCGUGUGAAAUCCCCGGGCUCAACCUCGGGAAUUGCGUUGGAGACUGCAAGGCUGGAGUCUGGCAGGAGGGGGUAGAAUUCCACGUGUAGCAGUGAAAUGCGUAGAGAUGUGGAGGAACACCGAUGGCCGAAGGCAGCCCCUGGGUCAAGACUGACGCUCAUGCACGAAAGCGUGGGGAGCAAACAGG